rnacentral:misc_RNA from 1 species
ACACCUCAACUCUUGUGGUUUUCCACAACGAGCUUGGACUGUGGAGGUUUGUUGGCCCUGUGGUCAGCUCCUCUCAAAUGAAUCAGCUUACCGGUGUUUGGUGGCAUCAUGAGUGUGAUAACUAUCUGCGCUUGUGACUGUCUCCAAGUAGCCUCCAGCAAUGGAGGUUCGCUGGAGCUUAUAAAUGUCUCUCCCAAGUGAAGACAGCCUUUGAAC